ensembl:lncRNA
GUUGGGGUUGGGAUGGGAUUGGGAUAGGAUUGCGAUGGGAUGGAGUGGGAUGGGACAGAGAUAUUGGGAUGGAAUUGGUAUUAGGAUGAGACUGGGGUGGGAUGGGGAUGGGAUUGGGAUGGGAUGAGAUUGGGAUUGGGAUUAGGAUGGGGUUGGGAUGGGGAUGGGAUUGGGAUUAGGAUGGGAUUGGGAUGACGAUGAGAUGGGGGUUGGGAUGGGAUUGGGAUUAGAAUGAGAUUGGGGUGGGAUGGGGAUGGAAUGGGGAUGGGAUUGGGAUGGGAUGAGAAUGGGAUUGGGAUUAGGAUGGGAUUGGGGUUGCGGUUGGGAUGGGAUUGGGAUUAGGAUGGGGUUGGAUUGGGACGGGGGUUGGGAUGGGAUUGGGAUGGGGAUGAGAUUGGGACUGGGAUUAGGAUGGGAUUGGGGUGAGAUUGGAAUAGGAUUGGGAUUAGGAUAGGCUUGUGAUGGGAUGAAGUGGGAUGGGACUGAGGUAUUGGGAUGGACUGGGAUUAGGAUGGGAUUAGGUUGGGAUUGGGAUGGAAUGGGGAUGGGAUUGGGAUGGGAUGAGAAUGGGAUUGGGAUUAGGAUGGGAUUGGGAUGGGGAUGGCACUGAGAUAUUGGGAUGGGAUUGGGAUUAGAAUGAGACUGGGGUGGGAUGGGGAUAGAAUGAGACUGGGAUUGGGAUUAGGAUGGGAUUGGGGUUGCGGUUGGGAUGGGAUUGGGAUUAGGAUGGGGUUGGAUUGGGACGGGCGUUGGGAUGGGGAUGAGAUUGGGACUGGGAUUAGGAUGGGAUUGGGGUAGGAUGGAAUUGGGGUGAGAUUGGAAUGGGAUUGGGAUUAGGAUAGGAUUGCGAUGGGAUGGAGUGGGAUUGGACUGAGGUAUUGGGAUGGGAUUGGGAUUAGGAUGGGAUUGGGGUGGGACGGGGGUUGGGAUGGGAUUGGGAUUAGGAUAGGAUUGGGAUGGGGGUGGGAUGGAGUGGGAUGGGACUGAGAUAUUGGGAUGGGAUUGGGAUUAGGAUGGGAUUGGGGUGAGAUGGGGAUGGGAUGAGACUGGGAUUGGGAUUGGGAUGGGAUUGGGGUUGGGAUGGGAUGAGAUAGGGAUUGGGAUGGGAUUGGGGUUGGGAUGCAAUGAGAUUGGGAUUGGGAUUGGGAUGAGACUGGGGUGGGAUGGGGAUGGGAUGAGAUUGGGAUUGGGAUUAGGAUGGGAUCGGGGUUGGGAGGGGAUGAGAUUGGGAUUGGGAUUAGGAUGGGAUUGGGGUUGGGAUGAGAUUGGGAUUGGGAUUAGGAUUGGGAUGGGGAUGGGAUGAGAUUGGGAUUGGGAUUAGGAUGGGAUUGGGGUAGGAUGGGGAUGGGAUGAGAUUGGGAUUGGGAUUAGGAUAGGAUUGGGGUUGGGAUGAGAUUGGGAUUGGGAUUAGGAUGGGAUAGGGGUAGGAUGGGGAUGGGAUUGGGAUGGGAUGAGAUUGGAUGAGAUUGCGAUGGGAUGAGAUUGGGAUUGGGAUUAGGAUGAGAUUGGGGUAGGAUGGGAUUGGGAUGGGAUGGGAUUGGGGUUGGGAUGGGACUGGGGUAGGAUGGGGAUGGGAUGAGAUUGGGGUUGGGGAUGGGAUUGGGGUAGGAUGUGGAUGGGAUGAGAUUGGGAUUGGGAUUAGGAUGGGAUUGGGGUAGGAUGGGAUUGGGAUGGGAUGGGAUUGGGGUUGGGAUGGGAUUGGGGUAGGAUGGG